CUUGACUUCAGCUGUUUCCUGUAAUCAUAUAUUUAAACUGUCAGAUGACCACUAAUGGCUGCUCACACUAUAGAAUCCACAAUCAGCACGUAGACACUGCGAACAUACACAGAAUCUCUCAUUUCUUGGGAUGCAAUACAGAUAUUCAAAACAUUGCCGUUUACCAGAUGAAGGGUUAACUGAAACUGGAGCAAACCUGGGAACCAGUAGUAAACGGCUUAUGUAAACAGCUUGUAAACAGCUUACUUCGGCUCACAGCCAGCUACUCUAAAAUAACAUCUAUUUGACCAUUUAUUGUCAACAAACUGAAGCUACAGCCUACUGACUGCAUUUACAUCUAGAGGAGUCCUACAGAACUGCUCCAAGACCACAGAGACUUUGAUUUGUUUUGACUCCAAGCCAAGUUUGAGCCAAGUGAUUUGCACACUGAUAUAUUGAGUUUUACAGCAUAUUACAUGCAUUUGGAGAGACUGGAUGUACACAUACUGUGUCGCUAACAAACUUUAGUUAGAGUCUUGUUGAUAUUGUUGAUAUAUGUCUGAUAUAUAUGUUUUAUAUAUAAAACUGCUCUGUGUAGCAUUUAAAUCUGGAUGAUUGCAGUCUAUAAAUCUUAUUAUUAGUAUUAUUGGUUGUAUUAUUGUUAACAUUAUUAUGUAUAUGAUGCUCUAAUAUACAUAUUGUGUUCUAUGGUUUGAACCUUUAUCGUGGUGCACAUUUUUCAGAUAUUGUAAAAUGAACCAACCUGAGGAGCUGAUAUAAAGUAUC
rnacentral:lncRNA from 11 species